UAACAUCCCCUAUGUUGGUCCUCUCUUCUUCUACUUCUGGAAAUACGACUACGGUGGUUCUGCCCAAUCUCCCCAACGACUUCUUACCUGACACGGUCACCGAAUACACCUCUCCGACGAGGGCAGAUUCGUCGUCGUUUUGGCCACGACGUGCUACGUGAAGUUCAACUACAUGAUCUAUGAUGAGAAGUUCCUCCUCUGGUUCAACGCCGACGAGAUCUGGGUCGAUUUGCCCCUGCCGAUAGCAUCUACUUCCAGGUCGGCAUCAUCUUCUCCUUGCCAUGGAAAUCCAACUAAUCAUCGUCCUCUGGCUUCUUCUCCUUCCAGAUUCAGAGUUCGAAACUGUUUCUAAGGAAGGCAGGGAGAAUUAAAAAAAGAAACAAAGGAAUCGGUUAUCAGAAAAUCCUAAUUGAGGAGUAAUGGAUGUUUUACAAAGCCAUAUGGAGAAGAAAUUAAAUACUGAAGAAAACAUCAAUGGUGGGCUCAGAUGGAGAUAUGAUGAAACUAGUGACGGCGAAGAAGAGCAGGGAGCUAUGGAAAUCGGUUACUAUGCAACUCCAACUAGGACAACUAGACGAAUCAGAGUUGCUAAGAGAUGAUAACACUUCUUUUUUGGUAAAAGGAUUCUGGAAGUUUUAUGGGAACAAACAGGAAAGCGCACAAGUGAAACAGAGCUGUUUGUAAGAUGAGAGCUAUGUUUUUUUUGGAACUUCGAGUACAUUUACGCUGGUCUCAGUUGUGGUUGUGCAGCUAAUUUCAAAGAUGGCAUUGUUGUUGUAAAGGAGCAUUUUCUCAUCUUUUGCUUCAGUGUUAGUUAAUCCAAAAAAUAAUGGUGGCGAAUCUAGAUUUAAGAUUUGGUUCUUGGCUUUAUGAUGAAGAAUCUUUGAUGAAGAUGUUAAUGGUUGAGUACAGUAGAUUCUGGAUUUCAGUAGUUGCUGAGAGAAAAAGGAGAUUAGAGGGGAAAGAAAAAGAGGAUUGACCUAAUACAUUUUUGGUGCAAAGUCUAAUAUACCCCCGGGUGCAUCGGUGGACCAAAAUAAAACUUGUGCACCCUAGUAGGCACCUUAAAUUGAGAGUAAUAUAUGUAUUUUUCCAUAU